UGUUGAGGUCGUCGUGUCCGCCCUUCGCCUCGCUCUCGCCGCGCUCAGCGGUUCCUUCCGUGGGUCUGCUUUCCUUCCCCGUCCGCUCAUCAGAUCUCACAAUUCGACGGUUCCUCUGCUUGGCUUCCCUGCCUCGCCCCGCCCCGCCUCCUCUCCCUCGCCUCCCACCUGCCUUCUCGCGCGGUCCUCUCCCUUGGCGUCGCCGCCGCACUCGCCUCCCUGUCUCGCUUGCCGACGCUGCCCUCGCCCUCCGCGUCUCGCUCGACGGCCUCGCCGGGCCGCCGUCCCGCACGCGCUGCCCUCGCCUCCCCUUCUCGUUCGCCGGCGCCGCCGCCACGCCCUCUCCGCCCCAUCCCGCUCACCGGGAACGGCCCCCUCCCCUGCGCCCGCCCCCUCGGUCUCCCGACGCGGACCAAGCGAGGCGCGGUCCGCGCGGCCGCCGUCCCUCGCCUCCGCCCCUGCAGCCGUCCUCGCCGACCUCGCCGCGCGGCCAUCCUCCCGGCGCGGAUCCACCACUCGCACCGCCUCCGCCCCUGCAGCCGUCCUCGCCGACCUCGCCGCGCGGCCAUCCUCCCGGCGCGGAUCCACCACUCGCACCGCCUCCGCCCCUGCAGCCGUCCUCGCCGACCUCGCAGCGCGGUCGUCCUCCCGGCGCGGAUCCACCAAGCGUGGUGCGCGCGGUCGUCGUCCCCGAAGCUCGGCCGCCUUCCGUCGCGCCCGCCUCGCCCCCGCCUCGCGUGAGUGCCGGCACACGUAAAGAUCAAUUAGCAGCUAGGGAGCUGGGCAUCCGCGCUGCCGCCUGCUCCUUCAAUCCUGUGGCGCCCUGCUUCCAUCCAUUCUGCCCAUCCCGCUCACCGGGAACGAGGAGGAACUGAGGGCGCGGCGCCGCUCUCUCCCUCCCCGUUGCGCUGCGGUCGCGCCCCCUCCCCCGCGUCCGUCCCCUCUGCCGCCUCUCAUCUCAGCUUGGCAUCCACAUCGCCAGGACAACAAGGACACCUCCGAGGACAUCAUAGCUGUGCCCAACAACCACGGGAUUAGAAGUGAGUUCUUUGCAUUGUCAUCCUCUUCCGUUUAGAUUCAUGAAUCUUUUAUAUGGGUCCUUAAUUAUGAGUUCAGAAUUCUAAUAAUAGAGUUGGUGGGGAAGCAUGCAUGCCAUAUAAUAUAAAAGGUGAGAUCAGGUUCUUGGUUAUAAUUAUGCACCUUUGGUUUAUAUGGUGAAUUUAUCAUUAAUGUGAAAACUUAGCACGAGAAAAUCUCUGUAUUCAUCAAGACAAUGGAACGAAUCAUGAUGAUGGUUGAUAAAAGAAGUGCUGCCAUUGCCAGAUGCACAGAGUGCUUGAGCCUUAUUAUCUACCAUUAAUUAUGUGUGUCUCACCGAUUCUUUUCUUUCUUCCAAUAAAAUAGAUUUGUGAUACAUGUAUUUUGUCACAAAUGCUACCUGUUUGGUGUAAUUAUUUCUAAUCAUUCCAGUACUAAACUGAUUAGUUUGUCUAUUAACAGGAUGUGAGUGGUUCAAAGAAAAAAAUAUUGAGUUAACCAUUGUUAGGCAACCUGUUGGUUUGGGAGUGGGUCGAAUUAAUAAAAUUGCUUGAAUCCUAAUACAACCACUUUGAUGAGUAGCAAUGUUGCAUAUCAUCUUGCUAGGGACAAAAAUAAAGAAAAGCCACAACUUGGUAAAAGGCAUGAGGCUGAGCAAUAUUCGUUGUCCAGGCUAUAGAGUAACCUGCACGGCAUCGCUACUCUUUUUAGGGUUUCAAUUCCAACUAGAUAGGCUUAUAAACAACCAGAUACCACUCUCUUUUUAUGGUGGAAGUAUUGUAUCCUCACGGAUCAGUACCCAUGGUGGAAGCAUUGAUGGCUCAAAAUUUAUACCCACUCAAAAACAUACUAAGUGAUGCGUUCUUGAUUCUGAAAUUUCAAUCUUACAUGCAAGCAGCCCUACACAUUUUGUUGAUCACUGAAGAAUCAUUCUACACAUUUCGUUACAGCGAUCUGUAGCUGCAGAUGAAGACAAGUGAUGAUGAUGCUUGUGUGCUGACGCAGGUAUUCCUACUUAUAUGCUUGAAUGCUUCUCCAUUGCAUCUAAUAUUUGCAUGGCAUGCUUUAUUCACGUCUUUUCUGUCCUGAGUGGUGAAUAUUGAUGGAAAUAUGAAAAAAAAUUGGUUGAGUAUACAACAGUUCAUAAGUCAUGGUGACCAUUGUAACACAUCUCCAGUGAUAAGCAUGGUGAGUAAGCUAUCGCCUGCUGAUAUUGGUUAACUGGUUAUGUGUUUUAAUGGGUUUCCAGUAAUCUUCUCGAUAUGUUUUGUAUCAUAUAUGAUCAAUAAUUUGUUGUUUCAAUAGUGGUUCUGCGAUAUAUGAUGCUUCUUUACACCUUUUGGAUUUUUGUUUGGGAGUUUUGGGUGCAGUUAGCCAUGGAAGUGGUUCUGCGAAUGAGAUUUUGUGGCCAUUGUUCUGCCAAGCUUGCUGAUUAUUCCAUUUCAGUAAAGAUGAGGUUAUUCAUGAGUCUAUUGCCAAGCUGCCGGCAGGAUGUAGCUCUGUGUAUCAGGUCUUUUGGACGGAAAGUACAAUGUCCUCCCUCAACAGUCAUGCUGAAUGGUGGGGAAGCAGCGAGGAAGUCAUUUGUAGAAAGAUGCAUUCUCAUCUAUCAUGCCAAACGUAUCGCUUAUCUAGAAUGCCUUAGCAAUCCUAGCACAAAUCUAAAUGUCUAUGUCGAUAGCAAUCUCUAUGUUGUAUUUUGGUUGAAUACUUUGAUAUGGAUAUCUACUUGGUUGUUUGAUUUGCAUCAUGAUUUGUCUCUGUA